rnacentral:tRNA from 1 species
GCGGACGUGGCGGAACCGGUAGACGCAAGGGACUUAAAAUCCCUCGGGCUUGCCCGUGCGGGUUCGAUCCCCGCCGUCCGCACCA